GCUGGCUUGGUGCGGAUGGUUCUGACUAUCUCGUAAAUUAGUCUUGUGACAAACGAUGACAGUGCGGAUGGCUUGUUGCUCUGUGCAAACAAACCAACCCCAACCCCACCGCACCCACCCACGACCACUCGCCCUGCUUGCAACAUCGAUUAAACUUUGACAAAGUUGCGAUUAUUUUAUUGACAAACUGGCGACCUUGGCGUUGACAGUCGGUGACGUCACUGCGGCACUGGCUGGCACCCAGAAUAGAGAAAACCUUUCGUUUUCACGGUCAAACGGCGUACCAAAGUCGAAAAACAGACCAACUGACCCGCAAGCCAAUGUCAAUGAUGCACUAAAUCUCUGCCAGAAAUUCCUUGCCUACAUCUGACUUUCUAUAUAUCGGACUACAUAUAUGCAUAUGUUUGUAUAUAGCAGCAUGUAUAUGUAUGUUCGAUACGUUCAAUUUCACUUCGCCGCAGAGCGAGUGAAAACUAAAAGCAAAACAAACGGACAACAGACCGUAUAUUUACGACCUAUACUGUAUGCG
rnacentral:lncRNA from 1 species